rnacentral:snRNA from 1 species
UGAAGAAAUUCAACCAAGCGCG